rnacentral:miRNA from 1 species
UGACUGAUUUCCUCUGGUGUUUAGA